rnacentral:pre_miRNA from 1 species
UCAGCCUGUAGUACUCAAACUGUGGGGGCACUUUUUGUUCUGGAAUAAAGUGCCGCCAGGUUCUGGGCAUUACCGGUUGAG